CCUUCACCUUUUCUCCAUAAUUAUGGAGCAGACAGUGCGCAUCUUUGCUCUCAGAGCAGGACCUGCGUUGGCAGCGGGUGAAUCUUUUGCAGAGGAUGAUGUUCCCUUUGCUGUGUCUCCAGCAGGAACUUGCUGCCAAUUAUUUUUUGGAAGAGCUGACUUACAGUAAACAGAUCUCUUUUAAUGGUGACAGACUUAGCAAAGCAGAGUGAAAUAAUAAGUAUCAUAGAAAGAGAGAGCUGACUGAAUUAGUGAAGUGGAAAUCAAUCCUGCCAGGUAGUGAGAGGUUUGGUGACAAAGUGAAAAUCUCCAAACCCUGGAAGGUUUUAUCCAUCUCUCAAAUAAUGCUGUUUUGCGUUCUGAGGGUAUUUCAUGUCUUCAAGAUGCACAGCAGAUGUUUCUUAAUUCUCCUAAUGGUUCUAUGGAGCAGGUGAGCAUUAUCUCAGCUUUACAGAUGGGCAGAGAGGAGUACAAAGAGGUGGAAACUGGCUCAGACCACAGUGUGAAUCAAUGGCAGAACCAGGAACAGGAUUGAGAAGUGCCUGGGAGUGCACGCCUGUGCUGAAACCACUCAACCGCACUGCUCCCGACGUAAGAAAUGGAAAUGAAUUUUUAAUAUUCCUGUUUCCGAAGGAAGGCUUUGGAUUUUAGAAAAAUUAAAUAUUUAUUUCAUUAUGUAUGACUUCAUAAGCCCAUAAUUUAUACCAGAUAGAUUUAUUGGCUUUAUUUCCCCAUGAUAAUUAUGUAGCCCUUGUUGAUCUAAUGGGCUUGUCAUUUUUAGUGAUGUAUCCAUCUGCCCAAAGAUAAGCAUUAUUUGCCUGUUAUAUAGUUAGGAACACAAUAGAAUGCACACGAAAAUUGCACUGAGCUUGAACACUAAAAUGAAGGGGUUUUUCCUUCUCCCAAAUGCAGAUUUAAUGCACCAAAUUAGUUUGGAACUACUUCAGUUUCCUUAGCAAACUCAAUCCUCUGAUAUUUAUCAGGCUGGCAGCUUUGAGGUCCUCUAUUUACUUAAAAUACCGAAUAUUUGAACUGCUGAUAUACAGCAACAACACCAGCAGAUUGCACAGGGUUUGGAAACAUUGAGCAGUGUGUAUCAGGAGGAAGGCUGUGCUCACUGCUGCUGCCUGGGUGCCCGUUCUGCCCGAAUCUCAGAGCAUCAUGUUUGGCAUGAACUGGAAGGGAGCACAGAAACGCCUAAAACAGCCAUAAGUAAGAGAGGCUUUCCUUACGUCCACGAAGUCCUUCUGCUUCACAAACUCAUGAAUUACUUCACUGCUGAUAGUAGAGUACCAAAGCCUCUGCACUGUAAUGUAAGUCAAAUGUUUCAGUCUUUUUGUCUGAUCAGCCUCGAAAGUCAUUUAGCCUUAGGAAUUAUCCCAUAAAUCAGCAUUGCAUUUUCAGCUGAAAGAUGUGUAUUUAUAAAAAAUUGGGCAUUAUUAAAUUUUGCAUUCCUGCACUAUUACGGUAAGUAAAUAGAGUCUUACAGGUGCAUUUAGCCAGGGAGUAAAAAGGAGGGCACUGCUGGAUAUUUUAUAUAAAUGUGUCCUUUAAAGGUUAAGCACAAAUGAAAGGAUGUAGCAUAUCAUUCAAUUACAUUACUGUUUCAAAGACAGCAUUAUUGUUACAUAAUUUAAAACCAGAUAAUGCCUUAGAGAAAAACAAGGAUCAAGGGAGGGGGAUGCGGUGACACAAAAGAACCUCCAUGUAAGCGUAGGAAAAAGACACAGGCAAUUGAAAGUUUAAAUGGACCUGAUUCUGGAUGGACACAUUAACUCUUAUCCUGCCUUCAGUCUGUUUUCUCUUUGGGCCCUGAAACAGCAUCAGUCCAUGUCCUGCCCUUGCUCUCUAAACUUCUCCCAAGCCUUGCAAGCAUCAGAGGGAGAUAUCAGAGCCAGAGCCUCUCAUCUCCUUUCCUCCCUUGACCUCACCUCUGUCUCCCAUACUUCUGCAGGCAGCCCAUGCAUACUCCUGAGGAAGAAUGUGGCCAGCAUACUGCCAAGUGCUGCUGAAUGGAAGUGGGUAGGGGAUAACAGGAAAAGCAAAAUGACUGGAGGAAGAUUUCUUCCCGAUGCUGUAAUCUCAUGCUGCUGUUCAUCUCUACCUGUGGCUUUGCUUAUUCCUUCGUCCCCUCCAUAAAUCACUGCAGCUGGUAGUGCAUUCACCCAAUCUUCCUGCCAGGAUGGUGCCAAACCUCUUCCCGUCAGACACCUGAACUGGUGAAUUCUCACAGCUAAACACCCCUAUUUUCAACUAGGGAAACUGAAGUGAAAGAAAAUUUCAAAGGUGGAAAAGAACACAGCCAGGCAGAGGAGACUCUUUCUCACUCCUUCAACCACUGCUGGUGAAAUGAGCCCCACACUACGUGAUCGAGAGAACUGACUUCCAGCUUUGAUAGGCUAUAAAUAGUAGGCACUGUAAUUGUCCAGCAGUUCUCCUGCAAGGAAGAGUGUAAUUCUGAACCACGUGAUCAAGCCAGGUGUUAUUCCAUGCUACUGCUUCUGAAAAUGCUGACACAACAGAUGCAGGCAUACGGGUUCAGUGAAUCAGGAAGAGAUAAGUGUCAGCUUUCCUCUAUGAUUGUGACUGCAAAGAUCUUUGUGCUGCAUGUUUAUUCUCCAGUGUUUAGAAAGGAAAAGUUCAGCUAUACCAGUACUUUGUUACUUGAAAACUGCACUGAAAGUGGGUAUUUUCUGCUAUUACUUAAAGCUCAGUGUUGGUUGCAAACCCAAAGAAAGCAGGUACCCAUGUUCAAUACCCCUACCUAAUGCACUGUUGUGUUAGAUACCACAGUUCUAAUUCUGUAAGACAGCUUUCUUGGAAACAGAAGAAAAUCAGUCUGGAAUAGAAAAAAAACCCUCCAGAAGAUUCAGUUUCCAUUGUAAAACCAGCUGUUUGCAUUUUUAAUAUCCCACCUUGCUAGUUUUUCUUCUUCCAUCAGGAAGAAGUUCAUAACAAAUUCACACCUUUUAAUCUAAGGGUAAUGAACAGACCUCCCAGUGUUGAAAGCCUGCUGUACAAACAGCAAAAUUAUUCAGACUUCCAGGAGUAACUUAAUUAGAAGGAUUCUUCAGAGUGGCUUUUUUUUUUCAUUUGAAAAUGUGGUAUUUUUCACACUGUACAGCACAAAAACCUUUGGCAUUUUUGUAAAGUGCAAUAAAAUAAUCAUGGGGAGUUUCUGUUACUUUCUCUAUAGGAAUUGCUACCCAUUUUUCUUUUUAAGCUAAUUUAAGGGACAAAGUAGCUCAAUAAACUGUUUUCUGUUUAAAAGGUGACUUUGAAGAAGAGUGACAUGGUAACUUUCCACAGUGAUUAUGGAAAAUAUUGUUUCUGCUAUUUAUGAAAUACACUG